rnacentral:rRNA from 1 species
GACGGAGGGUGCUAGCGUUGUUCGGAAUUACUGGGCGUAAAGCGCACGUAGGCGGAUUUUUAAGUCAGGUGUGAAAUCCCGGGGCUCAACCUCGGAACUGCAUUUGAAACUGGAAGUCUUGAGACCAGGAGAGGUUAGCGGAAUACCGAGUGUAGAGGUGAAAUUCGUAGAUAUUCGGUGGAACACAAGUGGCGAAGGCGGCUAACUGGACUGGUACUGACGCUGAGGUGCGAAAGUGUGGGGAGCAAACAGG